rnacentral:tRNA from 1 species
GCCGGAGUAGCUCAGUUGGUAGAGCACUGGUUUUGUAAACCAGGUGUCGUGGGUUCGAGUCCCGCCUCCGGCUCCU